rnacentral:rRNA from 1 species
AUUGAACGCUGGCGGCAUGCCUUACACAUGCAAGUCGAACGGUAACAGGUUAAGCUGACGAGUGGCGAACGGGUGAGUAAUACAUCGGAACGUGCCCAGUAGUGGGGGAUAGCCCGGCGAAAGCCGGAUUAAUACCGCAUACGACCUACGGGUGAAAGGGGGGGAUCGCAAGACCUCUCGCCAUUGGAGCGGCCGAUGUCAGAUUAGGUAGUUGGUGGGGUAAAAGCCUACCAAGCCGACGAUCUGUAGCUGGUCUGAGAGGACGACCAGCCACACUGGGACUGAGACACGGCCCAGACUCCUACGGGAGGCAGCAGUGGGGAAUUUUGGACAAUGGGCGCAAGCCUGAUCCAGCCAUGCCGCGUGCGGGAAGAAGGCCUUCGGGUUGUAAACCGCUUUUGUCAGGGAAGAAACGCUCUGGGUUAAUACCCUGGGGUAAUGACGGUACCUGAAGAAUAAGCACCGGCUAACUACGUGCCAGCCGCCGCAGUAA